GAUGAACGCUGGCGGCGUGCCUAAUACAUGCAAGUCGAGCGAACAGAUGAGGAGCUUGCUCCUCUGACGUUAGCGGCGGACGGGUGAGUAACACGUGGAUAACCUACCUAUAAGACUGGGAUAACUUCGGGAAACCGGAGCUAAUACCGGAUAAUAUAUUGAACCGCAUGGUUCAAUAGUGAAAGACGGUUUUGCUGUCACUUAUAGAUGGAUCCGCGCCGCAUUAGCUAGUUGGUAAGGUAACGGCUCACCAAGGCAACGAUGCGUAGCCGACCUGAGAGGGUGAUCGGCCACACUGGAACUGAGACACGGUCCAGACUCCUACGGGAGGCAGCAGUAGGGAAUCUUCCACAAUGGGCGAAAGCCUGACGGAGCAACGCCGCGUGAGUGAUGAAGGUCUUCGGAUCGUAAAACUCUGUUAUUAGGAAAGAACAAAUGUGUGAGUAACUAUGCCCGUCUUGACGGUACCUAAUCAGAAAGCAACGGCUAACUACGUG
rnacentral:rRNA from 1 species